GUUCGGAUUNUAGGCUGAAACUCGCCUACAUGAAGCUGGAAUUGCUAGUAAUCACAGGUCAGCAUACUGUGGUGAAUACGUUCCCGGGCCUUGUACACACCGCCCGUCACACCAUGAGAGUUGAGAAUACCCGAAGCCCAUGUCAAAGUGGUCGAAGGUAGGCUUGAUGAUUGGGGUGAAGUCGUAACAAGGUAAC
rnacentral:rRNA from 1 species